GAAAGAUUCAUCGGAAGAGGAUGGGCAUGCGGCGCAUUAGCUAGACGGCGGGGUAACGGCCCACCGUGGCGACGAUGCGUAGGGGUUCUGAGAGGAAGGUCCCCCACACUGGUACUGAGACACGGACCAGACUCCUACGGGAGGCAGCAGUGAGGAAUAUUGGUCAAUGGGAGAGAUCUUGAACCAGCCAAGCCGCGUGAGGGAAGACGGCCCUAUGGGUUGUAAACCUCUUUUGUCGGAGAACAAAACCCGGGACGUGUCCCGGACUGCGUGUAUCCGAAGAAAAAGCAUCGGCUAACUCCGUGCCAGCAGCCGCGGUAAUACGGAGGAUGCGAGCGUUAUCCGGAUUUAUUGGGUUUAAAGGGUGCGUAGGCGGUCUGUUAAGUCAGCGGUAAAAUUGCGGGGCUCAACCCCGUCGAGCCGUUGAAACUGGCAGACUUGAGUUGGCGAGAAGUACGCGGAAUGCGCGGUGUAGCGGUGAAAUGCAUAGAUAUCGCGCAGAACUCCGAUUGCGAAGGCAGCGUACCGGCGCCAGACUGACGCUGAGGCACGAAAGCGUGGGGAUCGAACAGGAUUAGAUACCCUGGUAGUCCACGCAGUAAACGAUGAAUGCUGGUUGUCCGGGUCGAAUGAGACCUGG
rnacentral:rRNA from 1 species